rnacentral:rRNA from 1 species
GACGAACGCUGGCGGCGUGCCUAAUACAUGCAAGUAGAACGCUGAAGGAGGAGCUUGCUUCUCUGGAUGAGUUGCGAACGGGUGAGUAACGCGUAGGUAACCUGCCUGGUAGCGGGGGAUAACUAUUGGAAACGAUAGCUAAUACCGCAUAAUAGCAGUUAUUGCAUGAUAACUGUUUGAAAGGUGCAAUUGCAUCACUACCAGAUGGACCUGCGUUGUAUUAGCUAGUUGGUGAGGUAACGGCUCACCAAGGCGACGAUACAUAGCCGACCUGAGAGGGUGAUCGGCCACACUGGGACUGAGACACGGCCCAGACUCCUACGGGAGGCAGCAGUAGGGAAUCUUCGGCAAUGGACGGAAGUCUGACCGAGCAACGCCGCGUGAGUGAAGAAGGUUUUCGGAUCGUAAAGCUCUGUUGUAAGAGAAGAACGAGUGUGAGAGUGGAAAGUUCACACUGUGA